AGCGAACGCUGGCGGCGUGCUUAACACAUGCAAGUCGAGCGAAGGUGUUUCAAGGGUAACCUUGAGAUACACUUAGCGGCGGACGGGUGAGUAAUACGUGGAUAACUUACCUCUAGGCCUGGGAUAACCCCGGGAAACUGGGGCUAAUACCUGAUAAGACCACAUUGUCUACGGACAAAGGGGUAAAAGGUGGCUGUGCAAACAGCUAUCGCCAAAAGAUAGGUUCACGUCCCAUCAGGCAGUUGGUGAGGUAAUGGCUCACCAAACCAAAGACGGGUAGCCGGCCUUGGCGGGUGAACGGCCACACGGGGACUGAGACACGGCCCCGACUCCUACGGGAGGCAGCAGUGGGGAAUAUUGGGCAAUGGGCGCAAGCCUGACCCAGCGACGUC
rnacentral:rRNA from 1 species